CGUCAUUAUACCAUAAUAAUGGACGCGAAAUCUUAAAAAAAAAAAAUGUUUUUUUUUUUUUAUUUCCCAUAUACAUAUAUAAUAUUAUUGUUGUUGAUCUUGUUCCACGUAUUCCAAUCAAAACAAUGACCGGAACACCGGUACAGACGAUCCGCGUAAAUUUCAAGCGUUAAGAAAACAUGUCGACGGUUGCCUAUACUUAACGCCGUAUCGCGAAAAACGCAUUAUUAUUGUUAUUAUUAUUAUUAUUACUAUGAUUAUUAUUAUUAUUAUUAUUAUUGUUGUUACUAUGGGGGCGAGCGCACAAGCGAUCCGUAUUGAAACGAAGCGCCACCCUCCUCCCCCCCACCCAUAUCACCGGGAAUUUAAACGAGCGGUACCGUAUUCUAAUCUACAGUAUUCGAUUCGAUUUUGGUUUUUUUUUUUCUCAAUUACGCCUAUUUAAAACGAAAAAAAAAAUACAUAUUUUCCCGUAUCGUCUAUAACGAUAAACAUAAUUUUUAAUGACAAAGCAAUUUAUCGUCUUUUUCACGCGUUACGUGCAUACCGAAUCUAAACCCGAGUCCUGGAGUAUGUUAUUCCGUUGUAGUGACAACGUAGGUAUUACAAGUAGAAGGUAUCGCGACAAAAAAAAAAAAUAAAAAAUAUUAUUAACAACAAUAAUCAACCUGACUACAGUUAAUAACAUUAUUCGUCAACGAAAUUAACAAAUUGAUUUUAGACCCCGCAGUUAACGUACAGUCAGACUAUCGUUCACGCAUAAUAAUGUACAUUUAUCAUUAACUAAUAUUGGUGUAUACCUAAUGAAAAUUAAUAUUAUGAUUUCUUCUUUUUUUCUUUUUUUUUCUUUCUGUGUGAAAAAAAAAAUUAACUGUCGCGUUUUAAACAUAUUAAUACUUGCCUAAUAUCUAUUGAAACAUUACAGUAUAUAAUAAUAGUAUAAUAUAAUAAUGUGUUAAUGACUUCGAUACACGGUGCGAUCGUACCUACAAUAUUAUGUGUUUAUAAUAAUAUUAUUAAAUAUUUUAUUUUAUCGUCCAUAAACGAUUGAAACAAUUACAUAUCAUACGAGCUUUGUUUGCUCUAUAUAAAAAAAAUUUAUGUAAAAAAAAAAAAAAUAAAUAAAUAAAUAAAAAAACGAAAAAAAAAAUUACUUAUGUUACUACUAUAUUUUAGCGUGCGCGUGUGUGUAUAUACCUAAUUUACUAUUAACAAUAUCAUAUUUAUUAUAACAAUAUCAUUAUUAUUACUAUUAUUAUUAUUAUUAUUAUUAUUAUUAUUAUUAUUAUUAUUAUUAUUAUUAUUAAAAUGAUUAGUAUUUUAUCGGCUUUUGUAAUAUCGUAUUAGUUACUGCGUGUUAAACACCGUCACGAUAAUAAUGAUAAUAUUAUAUUACCCUAUUUUAUUCGUAUAGACCCUGCCACUUUGUUGGUUGUGUAAAACCGUUUUCUCGUAUUAUUGUACAUAUCUUAUAUUCGAUAUAAUAUAAUUAUAAUUAAUGCCUUAUAAAGAUAAUAUUAUACAUAAGUAAUAUAACGGCAUUAUAAUAAUAAUGAUACCUACCCAUGUGACG
rnacentral:lncRNA from 1 species